rnacentral:rRNA from 1 species
AGGACGAACGCUGGCGGCGUGCUUAACACAUGCAAGUCGAGCGGAAAGGCCUUUCGGGGUACUCGAGCGGCGAACGGGUGAGUAACACGUGAGUAACCUGCCCUCAGCUUUGGGAUAACCCUCGGAAACGGGGGCUAAUACCGAAUAUUCACUCUGGACGGCAUCGUUUGGUGUGGAAAGUUUUUCGGCUGGGGAUGGGCUCGCGGCCUAUCAGCUUGUUGGUGGGGUGAUGGCCUACCAAGGCGACGAC